GAUGGUAUAGCUCAGUAGUAGAGCACAUGCUUAGCAUGCACAAAGUCCUGGGUCCGAUCCCCAGCACCUCCA
rnacentral:tRNA from 1 species